rnacentral:tRNA from 1 species
UGCCGGGUCGUCUAAUGGUAGGACAGCAGGUUUUGGUCCUGCUUAUCGGGGUUCGAGUCCCUGCCCGGCAA